rnacentral:rRNA from 1 species
UACGAAGGGGGCUAGCGUUGCUCGGAAUUACUGGGCGUAAAGGGAGCGUAGGCGGGUUAUCAAGUUGGAGGUGAAAGCCCAGGGCUCAACCUUGGAAUUGCCUUCAAAACUGAUAGCCUAGAGUAUGAUAGAGGUAUGUGGAACUCCGAGUGUAGAGGUGAAAUUCGUAGAUAUUCGGAAGAACACCAGUGGCGAAGGCGACAUACUGGGUCAUGACUGACGCUGAGGCUCGAAAGCGUGGGGAGCAAACAGG